rnacentral:lncRNA from 1 species
ACAGGUCCCACCCCUCCGAACCCUCUCUUCCUCGAAGCGGUUCGAGGGUUCCUCGGAGUUCGUGAAGCUCAAAUACCACAUGGGACCUGUGCUAUCGUCUCCGAUCAACAUCUACCUCAUCUGGUACGGCAAGUGGCCCCAAUCCCAGAAGCUCCUCAUCAAGGACUUCCUCAACUCAAUCUCCGACGACCACCACCGCGCCUCCCCCUCUCCCUCCGUCUCCGACUGGUGGCGCACUGUCUCCCUCUACACCGACCAGACCGGCGCCAACAUCUCCCGCUCCGUCUCCAUCGCCGGCGAGUACUCCGACCUCCGCUACUCCCACGGCACACACCUCACCCGCCUCUCCGUGCAGGACGUCAUCGCCACCGCCGUCCAGGCCAAGCCCUUCCCCGUCGACCACCGCAACGGGAUCUACCUAAUCCUCACCGCCGAAGACGUCACCAUGGAAGACUUCUGCCGCGCCGUCUGCGGUUUCCACUACUUCACCUUCCCAUCCAAGGUGGGUUACACGCUCCCUUACGCCUGGGUGGGGAACUCAGGAAAACAGUGUCCCGAGGUUUGCGCUUAUCCCUUCGCUGUUCCCGGCUACAUGGGCGGCGGCGGCCCCGGCCACCUCACGCCGCCGAACGGCGACGUCGGAGUGGACGGCAUGGUGAGCGUGAUCGGGCACGAGCUGGCG